GGAGAGGUGCCGGAGUGGUCGAACGGGGCGGUCUCGAAAACCGUUGUCCCCUCACAGGGACCCAGGGUUCGAAUCCCUGUCUCUCCGCCA
rnacentral:tRNA from 1 species